AGCUGCAGACACACCUGGCAUCAACUCAAAAGCCACUCCAUGAAACUGAUGGCAAUGGGAAAGUGAAUGUUACUGACUCAGAGGAGAUGGAUGACAUGUCAUUGAUGCAGUUGCAGACACACUUGGCACGUACCAAUAAAAGCAUGACAUCAUCGGAAGCUGCAGUCUGUCCACCGUCUCAGACUGCCCAAGACCUCAACGCGAACAAGACAACAACACCCACUGAACUGGCUGCCACUGCCAUCCCAAAUGCAACA